GGGGUUUGCAAGAAUCUGGGAGCUUGUGUGGUUUUUUUUGAAUUUUUAUGGUUUUCUGUGACCAUUGGGCCAUGUUGUUGUUUUUUGAAAAACUUUUCUGGGUUUUGAAUUUCUGUGUGCUGGGUGGCUGGGGGAACAGCUGGGGAGGGGUUUGCAAGAAUCUGGGAGCUUGUGUGGUUUUUUUUUUGAAUUUUUAUGGUUUUCUGUGACCAUUGGGCCAUGUUGUUGUUUUUUGAAAAACUUUUCUGGGUUUUGAAUUUCUGUGUGCUGGGUGGCUGGGGGAACAGCUGGGGAGGGGUUUGCAAGAAUCUGGGAGCUUGUGUGGUUUUUUUUUGAAUUUUUAUGGUUUUCUGUGACCAUUGGGCCAUGUUGUUGUUUUUUGAAAAAAAAAUCUAGGUUUGAAUUUCUGUGUGCUGGGUGGAUGGGGGAACAGUUGAGGAGGGGUUUGCAACAGUUGGGGAGGGGUUUGCAACAGUUGGAGAGGGGUUUGCAACAGUUGGGGAGGGGCUGGGGGAACAGUUGAGGUUUUUGAAGACUUUGGUGAUUUUUAAAGCUUUCCCAAAACUUCUUUUGCAGCCAUUUGAGGAUUUUGAAGACUUUGGUGAUUUGCAGCCAUUUCGUAAGUUAUAAUAAUAAUAAUAAUAAUAAUUUAUUACGGCCGUAGGCCCAUACAGAUAAAAACAAGACGUAAAUAACAGCCUGUGCACAUGGGGAAAAAAAACAGCCGCUAAAACAAUACUAUAACAAUAAGCUACUAUAAGAUGGAAUGGCAUACUACGCCUUAAUUAGCUUGUGGUGCUCCUUGGCGACGCUUUUGGGUAAGGACAGCGACCAGGAACCUAGCCACUUUCAGGGUCGUAUGGGCAUCCUUAUCCUGCAAGAUUUGGGCAAGGUGG